rnacentral:tRNA from 1 species
GCCACCUUAGCUCAGUUGGUAGAGCACACCCAUGGUAAGGGUGAGGUCGUCGGUUCGAGACCGACAGGUGGCUCCA